AGAGUGUUCAAAGACAAACGUACAAAUUUUGUAAUGAAUACUAUUAGCAUGGGAUAAUGGAACAGGACGUUGGUUCUAUUUUUAUUGGUUUCUAGAACUAAUGUAAUGAUUAAAAGGGAUAAGUUGGGGGCAUUAGUAUUUAAUUGUCAGAGGUGAAAUUCUUGGAGUUUAUGAAAGACUAACUUCUGCGAAAGCAUUGUCAAGGAUGUUUUCAUUAAUCAAGAACGAAAGUUAGGGGAUCGAAGACGAUCAGAUACCGUCGUAGUCUUAACCAUAAACUAUGCCGACCAGGGAUUGGAAGACGUUAUUUAAAAAAUAGGACUCCUCCAGCACCUUACGAGAAAUCACAAGUUUUUGGGUUCUGGGGGGGAGUAUGGUCGCAAGGCUGAAACUUAAAGGAAUUGACG
rnacentral:rRNA from 1 species